AAGGGCUGUGGCUGCCUGUAGCCAUGGGAUCUCCAACUGCAUGCCAGAGUAAUGGAGAGACUUUGACAGCUCAGGUCAGCACAGUGCCUGCAGCUGCCACUCAUCUUUCCUAUAUA
rnacentral:snoRNA from 7 species